rnacentral:rRNA from 1 species
AUUGAACGCUGGCGGCAUGCCUUACACAUGCAAGUCGAACGGCAGCACGGGUGCUUGCACCUGGUGGCGAGUGGCGAACGGGUGAGUAAUACAUCGGAACAUGUCCUGUAGUGGGGGAUAGCCCGGCGAAAGCCGGAUUAAUACCGCAUACGAUCUACGGAUGAAAGCGGGGGACCUUCGGGCCUCGCGCUAUAGGGUUGGCCGAUGGCUGAUUAGCUAGUUGGUGGGGUAAAGGCCUACCAAGGCGACGAUCAGUAGCUGGUCUGAGAGGACGACCAGCCACACUGGGACUGAGACACGGCCCAGACUCCUACGGGAGGCAGCAGUGGGGAAUUUUGGACAAGGGGCGAAAGCCUGAUCCAGCAAUGCCGCGGGUGUGAAGAAGGCCUUCGGGUUGUAAAGCACUUUUGUCCGGAAAGAAAUCCUUGGCCCUAAUACGGUCGGGGGAUGACGGUACCGGAAGAAUAAGCACCGGCUAACUACGUG